rnacentral:rRNA from 1 species
UACAGAGGUCCCAAGCGUUGUUCGGAUUCACUGGGCGUAAAGGGUGCGUAGGUGGCCGGGUAAGUCUGAGGUGAAAUCUCCAAGCUCAACUUGGAAACGGCCUUGGAUACUAUCCGGCUCGAGGAUCGGAGGGGAGACUGGAAUUCUCGGUGUAGCAGUGAAAUGCGUAGAUAUCGAGAGGAACACCAGUGGCGAAGGCGAGUCUCUGGACGAUUCCUGACACUGAGGCACGAAAGCCAGGGGAGCAAACGGG